UGUCCAAUUGAUUAUAAAUCAGACAGGGACAUCAGAAUCUCAAUGAUGCUUUUUAUUUGGAAAUCUCUAUGAUGGACA